CGGACAGAAGGGAGCUUGCUCCCGGAUGUUAGCGGCGGACGGGUGAGUAACACGUGGGUAACCUGCCUGUAAGACUGGGAUAACUCCGGGAAACCGGAGCUAAUACCGGAUAGUUCCUUGAACCGCAUGGUUCAAGGAUGAAAGACGGUUUCGGCUGUCACUUACAGAUGGACCCGCGGCGCAUUAGCUAGUUGGUGGGGUAAUGGCUCACCAAGGCGACGAUGCGUAGCCGACCUGAGAGGGUGAUCGGCCACACUGGGACUGAGACACGGCCCAGACUCCUACGGGAGGCAGCAGUAGGGAAUCUUCCGCAAUGGACGAAAGUCUGACGGAGCAACGCCGCGUGAGUGAUGAAGGUUUUCGGAUCGUAAAGCUCUGUUGUUAGGGAAGAACAAGUGCGAGAGUAACUGCUCGCACCUUGACGGUACCUAACCAGAAAGCCACGGCUAACUACGUGCCAGCAGCCGCGGUAAUACGUAGGUGGCAAGCGUUGUCCGGAAUUAUUGGGGCGUAGAGGGCUCGGAGGCGCCUUCUUAAGUCUGAUGAGAAACCCCCCUGC
rnacentral:rRNA from 1 species